rnacentral:rRNA from 1 species
UACAGAGGUCUCAAGCGUUGUUCGGAUUCAUUGGGCGUAAAGGGUGUGUAGGUGGCGCCGUAAGUCGGGUGUGAAAUUCGGAGCUUAACUCCGAAACUGCAUUCGAUACUGCGGUGCUUGAGGACUGGAGAGGACGACUGGAAUUCAUGGUGUAGCAGUGAAAUGCGUAGAGAUGCGGAGGAACACCGAUGGCGAAGGCAGCCCCCCUGGGUCGACCACUGACGCUCAGGCACGAAAGCGUGGGGAGCAAACAGG